AUUGAACGCUGGCGGCAUGCCUUACACAUGCAAGUCGAACGGCAGCACGGGGCAACCUGGUGGCGAGUGGCGAACGGGUGAGUAAUGCAUCGGAACGUGCCAUUGAGUGGGGGAUAACGUAGCGAAAGUUGCGCUAAUACCGCAUAUUCUGUGAGCAGGAAAGCAGGGGACCGCAAGGCCUUGCGCUCUUUGAGCGGCCGAUGUCAGAUUAGCUAGUUGGUGAGGUAACGGGUUACCAAGGCGACGAUCUGUAGCGGGUCUGAGAGGAUGAUCCGCCACACUGGAACUGAGACACGGUCCAGACUCCUACGGGAGGCAGCAGUGGGGAAUUUUGGACAAUGGGCGCAAGCCUGAUCCAGCCAUGCCGCGUGAGUGAAGAAGGCCU
rnacentral:rRNA from 1 species